rnacentral:ncRNA from 1 species
UCGUCCGACUCGUGAUCGUCUUCUCACCUUUCACGUGCGGACGGAUGAAAGAAGGACCCCCGCGAGGACAUGACUCGCGGGGGUCCUUC